GGUGAGAUGGCCGAGAGGUUGAAGGCGCUCCCCUGCUAAGGGAGUAUACGGAAAAAAUCUGUAUCCGGGGUUCGAAUCCCCGUCUCACCGCCA
rnacentral:tRNA from 1 species